rnacentral:rRNA from 1 species
AUUGAACGCUGGCGGCAGGCCUAACACAUGCAAGUCGAGCGGGGUUUUCGGACCUAGCGGCGGACGGGUGAGUAAUGCGUAGGAAGCUACCCGAUAGAGGGGGAUACCAGUUGGAAACGACUGUUAAUACCGCAUAAUGUCUAUGGACCAAAGUGUGGGACCUUCGGGCCACAUGCUAUCGGAUGCGCCUACGUGGGAUUAGCUAGUUGGUGAGGUAAUGGCUCACCAAGGCGACGAUCCCUAGCUGGUUUGAGAGGAUGAUCAGCCACACUGGAACUGAGACACGGUCCAGACUCCUACGGGAGGCAGCAGUGGGGAAUAUUGGACAAUGGGCGCAAGCCUGAUCCAGCCAUGCCGCGUGUGUGAAGAAGGCCUUCGGGUUGUAAAGCACUUUCAGUAAGGAGGAAGCGUUGAGUGUUAAUAGUACUCAGCGUUGACGUUACUUACAGAAGAAGCACCGGCUAACUCUGUGCCAGCCGCCGCCGUAAGAC